CCUACGGGUGGCUGCAGUGGGGAAUAUUGCACAAUGGGGGAAACCCUGAUGCAGCGACGCCGCGUGAGUGAAGAAGUAUUUCGGUAUGUAAAGCUCUAUCAGCAGGGAAGACAUAAAGUCCUUCGGACUUUGGACGGUACCUGACUAAGAAGCCCCGGCUAACUACGUGCCAGCAGCCGCGGUAAUACUUAGGGGGCAAGCGUUAUCCGGAUUUACUGGGUGGAAAGGGAGCGUAGACGGCAGCGCAAGUCUGGAGUGAAAUGCCAUGGCUUAACCAUGGAACUGCUUUGGAAACUGGGCAGCUGGAGUGCAGGAGAGGUAAGCGGAAUUCCUAGUGUAGCGGUGAAAUGCGUAGAUAUUAGGAGGAACACCAGUGGCGAAGGCGGCUUACUGGACUGUAACUGACGUUGAGGCUCGAAAGCGUGGGGAGCAAACAGGAUUAGAUACCCUUGUAGUC
rnacentral:rRNA from 1 species